rnacentral:rRNA from 1 species
GCGGUAAUACCAGCUCUCCGAGUGGUAGGGACGAUUAUUGGGCUUAAAGCGUCCGUAGCCGGCUCGGCAAGUCUCUCGUUAAAUCCAGCAACUCAAUUGUUGGACUGCAAGAGAUACUGUCAGGCUAGGAGACGGAAGAGGCCGACGGUAUUCUCGGGGUAGGGGUGAAAUCCUAUAAUCCCGG